GCUUCUAGGUGGUCUAAAUUCAUUUACUCUAUUUUGAGAAAUGUAGUUUCCAUGCACUUUUUCAAAACCAUUUCUAGAUGUUCUAAAGUGCUCAAUAUUUCUCCUAGUGUUUCUUCUAGGAUGUCUAGUGUUCCUAGAAUUAUUAUUUCUAGGUUGUCUAUUAACAUUGAUUUUGUCUUUCCUAGGUUGAACCUUGGGUUGCUUAGGAUUUUCUUCAACGUUUUCAUUCAUAUUAAUGUUAUUUUCGAAACCUAUACCAUGUUUAGUGGAUUUCAAAUUGUCAAGAACUUUAUUGAGGUUUUUAUGAGAGGAAUUGAAUUUGUUCAAAGUACCCUUAAGAUUUUCUACUUGAUCUUUGAGGGAUUUACAAGACGUGCUACCUUUGUACUUGAUCUUUGAGGGAUUUACAAGACGUGCAACCUUUGUUUGAGCCUUCGGGUUUGUCGGCGCUUCUUUUGCCAAAAACUUUAUUUUCUUCUUUUAAUUUUAUAUUAUCUAGGCUCAAUUUUUCUAAAUCCUUUUCCUUUAGAGAAAGCUGUUUCUUCAAAUCCUUAAUAGUUUUAGAAGCGCUAAAAAAUUCGCCGUAUAAUUCAUCAAAAGCAUCUUGCAUAUCUUCAUAAGUAUAAGAAUUUUUAGA
rnacentral:lncRNA from 1 species